rnacentral:rRNA from 1 species
GACGAACGCUGGCGGCGUGCUUAACACAUGCAAGUCGAACGAUGAAGCCCAGCUUGCUGGGUGGAAGAGUGGCAAACGGGUGAGUAACACGUGAGUAACCUGCCCUGAACUCUGGGAUAAGCACUGGAAACGGUGUCUAAUACUGGAUACGACCUAUCACCGCAUGGUGUGUGGGUGGAAAGAUUUAUCGGUUUUGGAUGGACUCGCGGCCUAUCAGCUAGAUGGUGAGGUAAUGGCUCACCAUGGCGACGACGGGUAGCCGGCCUGAGAGGGUGACCGGCCACACUGGGACUGAGACACGGCCCAGACUCCUACGGGAGGCAGCAGUGGGGAAUAUUGCACAAUGGGCGCAAGCCUGAUGCAGCAACGCCGCGUGAGGGAUGACGGCCUUCGGGUUGUAAACCUCUUUUAGUAGGGAAGAAGCGAAAGUGACGGUACCUGCAGAAAAAGCACCGGCUAACUACGUGCCAGCAGCCGCGGUAAUACGUAGGGUGCAAGCGUUGUCCGGAAUUAUUGGGCGUAAAGAGCUCGUAGGCGGCUUGUCGCGUCUGCUGUGAAAUCCCGGGGCUCAACCCCGGGCCUGCAGUGGGUACGGGCAAGCUAGAGUGCGGUAGGGGAGAUUGGAAUUCCUGGUGUAGCGG